rnacentral:rRNA from 1 species
UAGGGAAUCUUCCACAAUGGGCGCAAGCCUGAUGGAGCAACACCGCGUGAGUGAAGAAGGGUUUCGGCUCGUAAAGCUCUGUUGUUAAAGAAGAACACGUAUGAGAGUAACUGUUCAUACGCUGACGGUAUUUAACCAGAAAGUCACGGCUAACUACGUGCCAA